rnacentral:lncRNA from 1 species
CAGUUGGCUACUGCAGGAAGCCAGUUCCCAGGACCUGGAUUUUAUGAAGUGCUGGAAACUGCAAUUAUGCUUUGUUAGGCUUGAAAACCCUUGCUCUUCUUUUGCUGCCUAAAUCGCCCCAUGUAAUUUCUGUUGUGAGAUGUGCUGGUUUGUCAUAUGCACAAGCAAACUGGUGGCUUACACGUGUUCUUAAAGACAGGUUCAGCAACAUGCAAACACACUCUCUAACUUGCCGUUUCCCUCUCUCAAAAUCCCUCGACACUUGCACCGCAGUGCAAAGCAGUGUCUGUGGCAUAGCUUAUUUGUGUGGUUUUAUAACCUUGGUUUUGGCCAGUUUCCAAUUGCCUUUGAUUUUGCCUUAAUUGCCAGGGAGACAAAGGCGCAAUGGGGAUCCCUGGGCGGCCGGGUGCUCCAGGAGAAGCGGGCAUGUCUAUCAUUGGACCCCGUGGUCCACCCGGACAGCCUGGAACAAGAGGUUUUCCUGGAUUCCCGGGCCCUAUUGGCUUGGACGGCAAACCGGUAAGCAAACAGCUUGUCUCAAGACUUUCUGCCCUGCUUCCUGCUAGGCUGCACUGUCCUGUCAGCCUGCGUAUUAGAGAGUAUGUUUUCAAGAGGAUUAUUUUGCAAUGUCAUGCACAUGCUUGGAUUAAAAGAAAAUUAGAAGGUUGGCAGGCAGGAGGAUACCACAGAUGCCUUGGGGGAGAUGCAGGAGUCAGGAGAUUAGGGAAGGCAGAGUGUGGCUGUUUCCUUUCUAGGCAAACCUAUAAAAUAGCACUUCACAAGUGCAACAGCCUGGCUGCUGCAGGGAAAGCUUUAGCAGGCACUCCCACCCCAAGUCAGACAGGCAGAGCAGGUCCCCUAGGCACCAG